rnacentral:rRNA from 1 species
CUGGCUCAGGAUGAACGCUAGCGGCAGGCUUAACACAUGCAAGUCGAGGGGCAGCGCGGGGCGGCAACGUCCUGGCGGCGACCGGCGGAAGGGUGCGUAACGCGUGAGCGACAUGCCCGUUGCCCGGGGACAACCGGUGGAAACGCCGACUAAUCCCCGAUGGGAUACGAUGCUGCAUGGCAUUGUAUUGAAAGUUACGGCGGCGACGGAUUGGCUCGCGUCCGAUUAGCUGGUUGGCGGGGUGACGGCCCACCAAGGCUACGAUCGGUAGGGGUUCUGAGAGGAAGGCCCCCCACAAUGGGACUGAGACACGGCCCAUACUCCUACGGGAGGCAGCAGUGAGGAAUAUUGGUCAAUGGGCGGAAGCCUGAACCAGCCAUGCCGCGUGCGGGAAGGAGGCCCUAUGGGCUGUGAACCGCUUUUGCCUGGGGGCAAUAAGGGCGUCGCGCACGUCCGAUGAGAGUACCAGGCGAAUAAGCAUCGGCUAACUCCGUGCCAGCAGCCGCGGUAAUACGGGGGAUGCGAGCGUUAUCCGGAUUCAUUGGGUUUAAAGGGUGCGUAGGCUGUGCGUCAAGUCGGGGGUGAAAUUCCGGUGCUCAACACCGGGGCUGCCCUUGAUACUGUCGCGCUGGAGUGCGGAUGCCGCCGGAGGAAUGAGUGGUGUAGCGGUGAAAUGCUUAGAUAUCACUCAGAACACCGAUUGCGAAGGCAUCUGGCGAAUCCGUAACUGACGCUGAGGCACGAAAGCGUGGGGAUAGAACAGGAUUAGAUACCCUGGUAUUCCACGCCGUAAACGAUGAUGGCUAACCGCCGGCGACACACUGUCGGUGGCCAAGCGAAAGCGAUAAGCCAUCCACCUGGGGAGUACGUCGGCAACGAUGAAACUCAAAGGAAUUGACGGGGGCCCGCACAAGCGGAGGAACAUGUG